rnacentral:rRNA from 1 species
GACGAACGCUGGCGGCGUGCUUAACACAUGCAAGUCGAACGAUGAAGCCGGAGCUUGCUCUGGUGAAUUAGUGGCGAACGGGUGAGUAACACGUGAGUAACCUGCCCUUGACUCUGGGAUAACUGCGGGAAACUGUAGCUAAUACCGGAUACGACCCUCGGAGGCGUCUCCUGGGGGUGGAAAGAAUUUCGGUCAAGGAUGGACUCGCGGCCUAUCAGCUAGUUGGUGAGGUAAAGGCUGACCAAGGCGACGACGGGUAGCCGGCCUGAGAGGGUGACCGGCCACACUGGGACUGGGACACGGCCCAGACUCCUACGGGAGGCAGCAGUGGGGAAUAUAGCGCAAUGGGCGCAGGCCUGAUGAAGCAACGCCGCGUGAGGGAGGACGGCCUUCGGGUUGUAAACCUCUUUUAGCAGGGAAGAAGCGAAAGUGACGGUACCUGCAGAAAAAGCACCGGCUAACUACGUGCCAGCAGCCGCCGUAA